UUUUCUUUCCAAAUCAGGACACCUGUACCUGGAGAUCAUUGUGUUUCCUAUUGAAAAAGGAGGGGAAGCAGACAACAGGUCGUGUCUAUUCCUAGCUGAUGAAGGUUUCAAGAAAUUCCAGAAGUUAAACUCUUACCACUCUCAGCAAGGACUUCUCCAUUACCAAACUAAUUGCAGUCAGAGAAAUGCAACAGUGCCAUCUCUAGGACAGAUGCACCAUCCCCUUCAUUGUAGGAUAUGUCAUGGAAGUUCAGUUAAAGAUGAUAGGAGAUAUGUGUGACUUCACCCUUGGACAUUUACAGAAAAGUAAGAUGUCUGAAAAAAAGAAAAAAAAUGCUCAUCUGAUUUCUUUUCUUCUGGAUUGUUUGGAAGUCUGACGAAGGUGUUCAAAGUUUCAUCUGAGUGAGGCUUCCCAGACCUCUUAGUCUUUGUGAGCCCUUUGCAUUCCCCAGGUGUAUUCAAUCAGUAAGAACAGACCUGCCAUUUUCACAGCAAAUCCUUCCAAGUGUUUCAAAACGCAGCCAUGGAUGACAGCGAAAGGGAAGCUGAGGCUUAUUUUUCACAUUCAUAUACAGCUAAACCUCUGAAAAUAUUGUUGGGCAGACAUGGUUUUACAUCCUUGCCAUUCCUGGCAUCUCUGUUGUUUAACAGUUGCAGUAGAUUUUCCACACCAGCGUUUUUGACUGUUCAAAUAGAAAAGCAAAAUGCUUGAAUUAAAACACCAAAGUUAUUCCAC
rnacentral:lncRNA from 7 species